rnacentral:snRNA from 1 species
GGAUUUGAGGGCGAUCUGGCUGUGACACCUGUCAUUGAUUGCCGAGGUUGAUCUGGCUGAUCUGGCUGGCUAGGCAGGUGUCCCCUUCCUCCCUCACAGCUCCACAUGCGUCCCUCUGAAAGCUGUGCCCUGGGUCAAAGAGGACGACCAAUGCCCAGUAGAGGAGGAUCCGUCUUCUGUCAAGGGUAUAUGAGUAACUGUGUUCCCCUGCUGGAGCCUCCAAGCAAGCUCUCAAGAACCAGGUGGUGGAUUUCCUUUAAAGUAAUUUAACUAAUUUGUAAUUCAACAAGUCAUUAUAGCCAUGU